rnacentral:rRNA from 1 species
UACGGAAGGCAGCAGUGGGGAAUAUUGCACAAUGGGCGAAAGCCUGAUGCAGCUAUGCCGCGUGUAUGAAGAAGGCCUUAGGGUUGUAAAGUACUUUCAUCGGGGAGGAAAAAACAAAACUAAUAAUUUUAUUUCUUGACGUUACCCGAAAAAGAAGCACCGGCUAACUCCGUGCCAGCAGCCGCGGUAAUACGGAGGGUGCUAGCGUUAAUCAGAAUUACUGGGCGUAAAGAGCACGUAGGUGGUUUUUUUAAGUCAGAUGUGAAAUCCCUGGGCUUAACCUGGAACUGCAUUUUGAAACUGAAAUACUAGAGUAUCGUAGAGGGAGGUAGAAUUCUAGGUGUAGCGGUGAAAUGCGUAGAUAUCUGGAGGAAUACCUGUGGCGAAAGCGGCCUCCUAAACGAAUACUGACACUGAGGUGCGAAAGCGUGGGGAGCAAACGAGGGAUUAGAUAC